rnacentral:siRNA from 1 species
AGCAUUUGCCAAGGAUGU